rnacentral:rRNA from 1 species
UUGAGUUUGAUCCUGGCUCAGAUUGAACGCUGGCGGCAUGCCUUACACAUGCAAGUCGAACGGCAGCACGGGUGCUUGCACCUGGUGGCGAGUGGCGAACGGGUGAGUAAUACAUCGGAACAUGUCCUGUAGUGGGGGAUAGCCCGGCGAAAGCCGGAUUAAUACCGCAUACGAUCUACGGAUGAAAGCGGGGGACCUUCGGGCCUCGCGCUAUAGGGUUGGCCGAUGGCUGAUUAGCUAGUUGGUGGGGUAGAGGCCUACCAAGGCGACGAUCAGUAGCUGGUCUGAGAGGACGACCAGCCACACUGUGACUGAGACACGGCCCAGACUCCUACGGGAGGCAGCAGUGGGGAAUUUUGGACAAUGGGCGAAAGCCUGAUCCAGCAAUGCCGCGUGUGUGAAGAAGGCCUUCGGGUUGUAAAGCACUUUUGUCCGGAAAGAAAUCCUUGGCUCUAAUACAGUCGGGGGAUGACGGUACCGGAAGAAUAAGCACCGGCUAACUACGUGCCAGCAGCCGCGGUAAUACGUAGGGUGCGAGCGUUAAUCGGAAUUACUGGGCGUAAAGCGUGCGCAGGCGGUUUGCUAAGACCGAUGUGAAAUCCCCGGGCUCAACCUGGGAACUGCAUUGGUGACUGGCANGCUAGAGUAUGGCAGAAGGGGGUAGAAUUCCACGUGUAGCAGUGAAAUGCGUAAAGAUGUGGAGGAAUACCGAUGGCGAAGGCAGCCCCCUGGGCCAAUACUGAACGUUCAUGCAGGAAAGCGUGGGGAGCAAACAGGAUUAGAUACCCUGGUAGCCCACGCCCUAAACGAUGUCAACUAGUGUUGGGGAUUCAUUUCCUUAGUAACGUAGCUAACGCGUGAAGUUGACCGCNUGGGGAGUACGGUCGCAAGAUUAAAACUCAAAGGAAUUGACGGGGACCCGCACAAGCGGUGGAUGAUGUGGAUUAAUUCGAUGCAACGCGAAAAACCUUACCUACCCUUGACAUGGUCGGAAUCCCGCUGAGAGGUGGGAGUGCUCGAAAGAGAACCGGCGCACAGGUGCUGCAUGGCUGUCGUCAGCUCGUGUCGUGAGAUGUUGGGUUAAGUCCCGCAACGAGCGCAACCCUUGUCCUUAGUUGCUACGCAAGAGCACUCUAAGGAGACUGCCGGUGACAAACCGGAGGAAGGUGGGGAUGACGUCAAGUCCUCAUGGCCCUUAUGGGUAGGGCUUCACACGUCAUACAAUGGUCGGAACAGAGGGUUGCCAACCCGCGAGGGGGAGCUAAUCCCAGAAAACCGAUCGUAGUCCGGAUUGCACUCUGCAACUCGAGUGCAUGAAGCUGGAAUCGCUAGUAAUCGCGGAUCAGCAUGCCGCGGUGAAUACGUUCCCGGGUCUUGUACACACCGCCCGUCACACCAUGGGAGUGGGUUUUACCAGAAGUGGCUAGUCUAACCGCAAGGAGGACGGUCACCACGGUAGGAUUCAUGACUGGGGUGAAGUCGUAACAAGGUA